UAACCAUCUAGUAAUGAAAACCGACGUCCGAAUAGAUUAAAUGUGUGCAAAGCAACACUUAGAACCUACUGGACUAUGGUUAUCGUAUAAUUCAUUCUUUUAACCCUAAUGCUCAAGGUGAUCUAGGAUUUAACUAUCAACUCUGAAAUAGUCAACCACAUUAUAUUUCAACCUUUCAAAUCUUUUAUAUGGAUUAUCCAGAUCAAGAUUUUACUGAAUUGAAAUAAAGUGAUACAUUAACUCCUACUUAUUCGGAGGGAUCAAUCACAUCUUGACUCACACACUGACUACCACAGGCACUUGACUGUCCUGAUAUCUUUCAUCACUAAAUUAAAAAUUCAGAUAGUUCGAUACCAAAGCAUAGUGAGUUGCUCGCAAGUCACCGUGGUGAUCUCAGAUCGAAGGGAUAAUUAUAUGUUAGAUGUAUGUUCU
rnacentral:lncRNA from 1 species